GCGGCGACUUCCUGCUCCGCCGCCCGCCCGCCCGCCCGCGCGCGCGGCCCCAGGGUCCCCGCCGGCCCGGGCAGGUCCCGCGCUUCGGUUUCGUUUCCCUUCUCCCCACGCCGGGCCGGGAUGCUCACCAGUUGAAUGUUUUCUGUGUCCCAGGCGUCCUCGGAGUCAGCGAACAGAUGCCUUUAAUCUAAUUCAGGCGGCGGGGCGAGUGUCAGUGGAAACUUACAUUUGUCACUGGGGUUUUGAACAUGCAGCCCGCACACCCCAGAAAAAUGCGGACUUUCCGGCCGGCCCGUCCACUCCAGGCUGGGAGCCUAGUGGUUUUAUGUCAAACUUGGCGUGACAACCAGCAACAGAAACGAGGCCCCGGCCGUGGAGAGAGCAUGUUUGGGGGACACAGCGCAGAGCGGGGCUCUGCUUCGGCAGCCCCCCCGCGCCCCAGGCUGUUUCUGGGUGUCCUUUCAUUUUUUAAAAAAAA